AUAUUCUUCAGGUUAUAUUUUAGUGAAUAAUAUUAAUAUCUGUUCCAAAAUAGUACAGGAUUUUAAAAAUUCUAAUGUAUGAGUAUAUUUAUGAAUCACAAUUCAGGGUGUUAUAUUAAGUUAUUGUAAACCACAGAGAUAACCAAAUUUCUUUGUCAAUUAUGUUUUUGACUGUAACUACCCUGGACAUUUUGUUAUUCAUAGACAAUUGUUGUCUUGGUUUGAUCCUCUUUAAACGAUGGUAUAUAAUAAGCUAUAGAACUUUGACAGGUUCUCUCAAAUGCAGGUUACUGAUAACUUUGUAAAUUGUGACAUUGGUAUAAAGGAAAAACACACAGGGCUAAUGAAGAACUGAAAUGUUUAGAAAUAUCAAUACAAGAGUUAACUAAAAGGACUAAACUAAUAGAAAACUGAAGUAAUCUUUUUUAAAACUUUUGCUUAAAACAUUGCUGAUCUUUGUUUUGUUUUUCAGAGUCAAGGAAACUUUUAUUUUGAGCUAUUUACAGUCUUUAAUAAUUGAGUAAAGUAGACUCCUGUGAACAAAAUUUGGAGCAUGUUUGUUUCUCUUUGCAUGGUUCCUAUAGAAUUUGGAAACUAUCUGCCAUUGAACUCCAAACAAUCAUGCAACUAGAGCCUCAAAUGAUGGCCCCCUUUUACCAGAGACCCUUAGAUAGGCCUCUGAGGGAGAUCUGACUGCUGUUAUUUGAAAACAGCACCCCCUGUCAGCAGAAAGCAGUUAAGGUCAAUCAUCAUCCUUAUCCUUAUUCUAAUGGCUGUUAGAUGUACUUCUUUAGAGGGGGGAAUGAUACAGGCAGGAGACAGCCAAAUGCCUAGGCAGAUAAGGAAGGGUACCCAGAGAGUCUCCGACCCACCCAGGUCAUUGUGCAGAGGGGGCUUGCCUAACCAUGCCUACGGUGAAAACUUCUGUCCCUUAACACACGUGCAGUAAGGGAAAUAAAUCAAUGUCAAGUGGCUCAGACUAAGGGCCCACAAGAACACUGGAAGAAUGGGGUGGAGUCACCAGGAAUCCACGCCUUAUGCAGGGAAGGGACCUGGCCUCUUCAGCUCAUGUGUAGUGGCCUGGUAUUCAAUUUGUGAGGUAGAAACCUGAAUGACGGACCCCUCUUUUUUAUGGAGAGCUUUCCUUUCACUUAAUAAAUUCAGCCCUCUUCACCUUUCAAUGUGUUCACUUGCCUAAUUUUUCCUGGUUGUGAGACAAGAACCCAGAUUUGGCUGAACUAAGGAGCAAAUAAAUCGUACAUCACCAGGCUCUGAUUGUGGUACUUUACAUAUGUUAUCAUAUGCAUGGAUAAAUUUCUUUUAGAAUUGCCAUGGUAGGGAAUUCACUAGCAGCUGGAAGGAUGGUAUUGAUCAGUGGUUAUCAAACUUCAGUAUGAAGGACUUGUUAAAACAUAGAUUGCUAGAUCCCAUUUCCAGAGUUUCUGAUUUAGUAGGUCUGCAGAGGAUCCCAAGAAUUUGCAUUAUUAACAAGUUCUCAGGUGAUACUGAUGCUGCUGGUCCAGAGGCCACACUUUGAGAACCACUGGUCUAGAUUAUCUCCAACUUUCAUUCUAAUGCUAAGAUUCUGUGUUUCAAUAAUCAUCUUAACUUUUUUUCAUGAGAGACAGAUCUCUACUGUCUUGGGUCAAGACCUUAACACAGGAAUUUUUAAAAAAUCAUAUCAUUGAAGAAUACAGUUUAAUCACUUAAGCCACUAUACCUACUUUUCCCUCACUUCUUUCUUAAAAUGCUGUUUUUUCCCCUUUUUACAAAAAUGCUGGGUUUUCCCUUUUUUUAAACAGAGUUAAAAUGCUUUAUUUUAUAAUUGGUUAGAGGAAAAAGCAAACUACUUUUCCUUUGCCUCGUUUCUUCAUCAUUAUACAAUUUUGGACACUGUUAUUGUUAUCUCCCAGGAAAUUACAUUGGAAAAACAUACCUAAUGCUGUAAAGUAAAUGAUCAGUAUUAAGUCAUGAGCAUAUUGUUACAGUGUUUUAAAACUCUGGAAAGAUGAAAUUUUGGCUUAAGGUGAACAUGGGAGUGGGUGUUUGAUGAUGAAAAGAUGGUGUGUGUGUGUGUGUGUGUGUGUGUGUGUGUGUACAUUCCACAGAAGUGUAAAGUUUCAUCCUUAGUUGCUUCAGAUGACUUUUCCAUACUAUUUUUUAACAUUUUCAUUAUUUGGAUUUACAGCACCCCAGGGAUCUUUAGCUAUUUCAAAAGGUGUCAUGCAAUUCUGAAAAGUUCCUCAGAAUAACAUUUUAAGUUACUUAAAUUGAAAAAAAAUACAUAUUUGCUAUACAGACAUUUUCUAGUCUGGUAAAAGAGACAAAGAUAAAUGUUCACACUUGAAAUAAACAAAAUAUCUGGAAAUUGCUUAUAGGGUAUUUAAACUUCCAUUCAAUGCUGGUUCCCAAAUGAAUUACAAAGUGUCCUAUACCAGAGUCUUGGCAUCUAAAUCAACAUAAAACACCUGGCACAUUUUGAAUGAAAAAAGAACUUCACAUUUUCAAGCAGUUCUCAAUUAUCUCAUUAAUAGAUCAUCUGAAACAGCUAAAAGCCCUAAUGAUUAUUUUUCUUUAAUUUGAGACUGUGUUUUUGUACUUACAGGUGAAGAGCUAUUUUCCUGAUGUCCUAAGAAUUUUAUUCAAUUAAUGUUAUAGGUGCCACUAGAGGAGCUGGAAGGUGUUCCUGGUCUUUUGCAAAAGAAAGCUUUCUUCUCAAAUCAAUGCAAAAUCUCCUUCUCUUCUAACUAUCCUAGAGCUGUGGGGAGGAGGCAGAGAGUGUGUGGAUUUGAAAGGGCUUCUCGACCUCUAGGUAAAAAGAAAGAGCUUAGAUAUUAACAUUGUAAUUACAUCAAUUAGAUGCUAACUUUAUUUGGUUUUCAAAAAUAAUCAGGCCCCUGCUAAUUGUGUGUAUAGAGAAAGAAAUGAGUCCACAUUCUUUGUAAACACUAAGUACACUUUUUUGUUCUCUAUCAAUGAGCAGCAGGCAGCAUGUGGAUCUCAGAUAUCUGAAGACAGGGCAUAUGAGCUGAUUAAAUGGGCUGGUAGGAAAGGUCUGAAUUCAGAGGUUAGCACUGCCAACCCUCUGUUCCUCCAGUCCACCCCCUGUAACCAGCUCCCACUGGCUUCAUCACGGCUGCCCAAUUUCUUCCUACUCCAGUGUUUCUCAACCCUUUAAAUCAAUGCCAACUUUUCAUAAAUACAAACAUCUUAUUCACACUUUCCCCAGAAAUUCUAACACGUUCCUCAGGAUUAGGGGAGUGGAAACUUCAGUUAGGAAACUCUGUAUUUUCUUUGUAACCCAGCAGCAAAAACAAUGUGGUUGUGUUUUGUUUUCUGAAGUUGCCAUUAUAAAAAUAAUAGUUUUGUUAUGUUUUUAUAAGAUAAAACUAAAUUAUAAAAUUGAACAUGUCUUCUCAAAUUUUUCACUUGCCUCCAACCACCCUCCACUUCCCAUAGAUUCUAGUAUUUCUCUAAGAGCCCAUUCCUCAAGUUAAAAAUUGUUGCUCUAAUUUCUACAUCAUGACCAGGACAUGCUGUAUAAUUUGUGGGGCCUAGUUCAAAAUGAAUAUGCAAGGUCCCUCUUCAAACAUUAUUAAGGAUUUCAAGAUGGCUACAGUAGAGGAUUAAACCAAGGCUGGGACCUUUCUAAGCUUGGAGUCCUGGGUGACUGCACAGAAUACAUGCCACAAAGCUGUCCCUGAUCAUGACUUUUUAGCUUCUGCUAUUCCUGUCAUUGACUUCAUCUGUGUGUUUCCUAAUUCUGAUUCCCAAGAGCAAGAAUCGGAUUGGCUAAGAUAAGCAUUUCAUUCCAGAAGUUUUACUGGUUGCUGGCAGGCAUAUUCAUUGGAGAGGUCCCUUGGUCAGUCAACUAUGUCAGAACCAAACAGUCGUGUGUGAUCAAGGUGGGGGAUUUGAAUGGGAGUAGAGAAUGGGUCUACUACUACAGUACAUGGCCACCAAUGUAGCCAUGAGAGUGGACGGGGCAGUUUUCUUAGGAGUGGACAUGGGUAGACAGGCAAUCACUGACACUGAAUACAAAAUAUAAAUAUACGCAUUUCCAAUUUGAGCCUGAUGUCUGUGUAAAACGGAGUAAUAAUAUUUCAGAGGCUAGUUUAUGGGGGAUAGAUGAGAUAGUGACCUAAACAAAUGGAUGUAAAACCCCAAGAAAUCAUUAUUACCAUUCAACUAAGGGAGUGCAAACAUAGUGGAACCUGAUUUAAUAUCUCAAAUAGUCCAGCACUCAAAAAUAGGCUGGUAACACAUAGGCCAUCAGGGUGUUGUCUUGUGGUGCAUGCAGCAGGAUGACUAUUACUGUGAACUAAGCAACACAGAUGCCAUCUUCUGAAGACAAAUAGACACAAAGGAUUGUGUCUUUGUUCAUAUAUACAAAGAAAAUUGGCACUAGAACUGGAUGAGAGCCAAGGGACAGUCUGUUUGAUAGGCUGUGGCUUGUGAUAGUCCUAAUCUGUUGAUGAAAUAAUGUGUUUCCUUCUGGAAAAAAGGAAUUUUCUAACGUUCCCCUAAGAAAGGUUUCAGCUGCCCUCAGCUCUGUCAGGGACUAGAAGUGAUUGUCCUGUUCUGGGUUAUUAUCACUUUGAUCACACCAAUUCCCCUUUUGGGCUUAAAAAACUCAGUCUCUUUCUGUCUCUCUCUCUCUCUUUUUCUCUCUCUCUCUUUUUGGAGGAUUUUUUUCGAAUCUGUAUAUCUUUCUAGUUUAACUAGAUACAGAUCUAGUCAUGGGUUUUUACCCCCAGGCUCUCCCUUUUGUCAUCUUUUAUCCUCCUCUUUCCUUUGUCCCAUUUAAAUUAAAUUUUAGAAUUUAUAUAAGAAUUUAAGUUGGUCAUAGUAAAGAUUUUGAAACAUUAGGGAUUUUGAAUUCCAAUAGUGUUAUCAGUAGCUUUUAAAGGUUAGGAUUUUCCUUUUGUAUGUGUCAUGAGUCUAUAUGUGUGAGACUGUGACACUGUGUGUAUGUAUUUAAAGAAUAUUUAAACUUAUGACAGUAAAAGAAAAAGUACAAAUUGCAAAUAUCAAGCGUUACGUCAAAUAAAAACUUCCAAAACAGUCCUAUGUGACAAAUAACACAAACCAAAUUAAUUAUUAAAAAGAAUCUUUUGUAUCACUCAAUUCCUAGAAAGAAUCAGGAAAGUAAAAGUCUAAAAAGCAGUGGUUUGAAGAAAAACAGGAAGCCUGCCACAAAGCAUUUUGAGUAGGUGAAUGAAGGUUAUUAGUUAAGCUGGGGAUGCCUGCUUUCCCUGCUCUAGCAGUCACAGACAGAGUGAGCAUGCCUCUGCAUAAUCCUAUUAUGUACAGGGUGCUGCACUUGGCCUUCCUGGUGACUUACAUUUGCCAGAAACACUACACUUCAAACACAUACCAUACAGGCAAUUACAACAGGUUUCCAAAGAUUGAUGGCAGCCCCCAAAUGAAAAGAUUCCACUAGCUACCCUCUAAAUCCUCAUAUGAAGAAUAUGUGUUUGUGUGUGUGCCACUAUGUGUUCAUGUAUUUAGCCAGCAUAAUGUAGAAAAUUGAUUUCUUAACACCUGAUUCUAGGCAGAAGCAAUUUCUGCCCAGAAUGUCAGCCACUUUUUAAAAAAUAACAUCAAGCCAUUGCACAAAUACAAAAUCACAUACUUGGAGAAAACGAAAUUAUACACAUCCUUAGAAUAUUACUCUUUCCCUUUCAUCCUUCAAAAAUUAAUUUGGAUUUUUAACUUUCCAUCCUGGUCCAAUACUGUACAACAAAGAAAGUAUGGAUAAGAAAAGUAAGAUUUCAGAAAUGUGGUAAGGAGUGGAGGGAAAUGCCUUCAAUAAUUCUCAGUGAGGGUGUAGGAGGACUUCUGGCUCACAGAUGUUCCAGUGCUCUAAGGGGUUCAUUGGGAGAGAAUAUCACCAUAGGUUUGAAAAACUAUUAAUCCCACCAAGGAAAAAAAACUUCAGCUUUUGAGCCUGUUAGCAAAUUAUAGUUAAUAAAAAUAAAAUUUGUGGCCUGGCACAGUGGCUCACGCCUGUAAUCCUAGCAUUUUGGGAGGCCGAGGAGGGUGGAUUGCCUGAGCUCAGGGGUUCAAGACCAGCCUGGUCAACAUGGUGAAACCCUGUCUCUACUAAAUACAAAUUAGCUGGGCUUGGCAGCAUGUGCCUGCAGCCCAACUACUCAGGAGGCUGAAGUGGGAGAAUUGCUCCAGCCCACAAGGCAGAGGUUGCAGUGAGGUGAGAUGGUGCAACUACUACACUCCAGACUGGGUGACAGAGCGAGUCUCUGUCUCAAAAAUAAAAUAAAAUAAAAUAAAAUAAUAUAAAAUAAAAUUUGUAAAUAGAAUACACCGAAAUAUAUUCUGUGAACAAAAGAGGACAAAUUAAACCAAGAGAGUUCAAUGUACAAGGUAUGAUUUUGAAAUUAUACAAUUGUACUUUUAAAUCCCUUGACUUUUGCAAAGAAUCUUGAUGCAGCAUAUAUUUUUAUUAUAUAAAUGUCUAUUUUGCAAUAGGAUGAAAUAAAAUUAAGAAGACCUAUGAUAAUGCAGUAUAUAAAUUUGGCAAAACACUUGAAUAAUGAAAAAACUUAUUGGUGAGUUUUGUCUCAUAAAUAUAUUUGUUGGAGAAAGAUACUCUAAAUGGAGACAAACAUAAAAUGCUUGUGGAAAUAUUUAGACAUUUAACAUAAACAAUUAGAAUUGACAUUGCCCUCCAUUUGACAGAAUUUUAUCUGAAUUUACAUUACAACAGCACUAGAAGAGAAUAUUUUCCCUAUUAAAAAGAUUAUGGUCUAUAGAAAAAGAACCAACUGAAAAUGCAAUUAACCAUAAUUUGAAACUUGAAGACAAUUUCAGGCAUUUUUAUGGGAAAAAACACUAAAUUUUUAAACAAAAUACUAUUAAUAAAGAGAAUUAGAGAAAUUAUAUAAGCACACAAGUAUUGUUACCUGCUUUUAAAAUUUUUAAUGUUCAGGUAAUGAUAUAAAGGAGGUUUAUUUAUUAAAAUGUUUAUUUAAUGUAUACUAGUGUAAUAG
rnacentral:lncRNA from 10 species